rnacentral:rRNA from 1 species
GUCUAGUUUACUAGAUGCUGACGAGUGGCGGACGGCUGAGUAACGCGUGGGAACGUGCCCUAAAGUGAGGGAUAACGCACCGAAAGGUGUGCUAAUACCGCAUAUGAUCUUCGGAUUAAAGAAUUUAUUCGCUUUAGGAGCGGCCCGCGUCGGAUUAGGUUGUUGGUGAGGUAAUGGCUCACCAAGCCGACGAUCCGUAGCUGGUCUGAGAGGAUGACCAGCCAGACUGGAACUGAGACACGGUCCAGACUCCUACGGGAGGCAGCAGUGAGGAAUCUUCCACAAUGGGCGAAAGCCUGAUGGAGCAACGCCGCGUGCGGGAUGAAGGCCUUCGGGUCGUAAACCGCUUUUAUUAG